UUUUAUAUUGGGACAUAUAAAAAAGACAACUCUGUUACGCAGAAUAGCUGUUGACAUUAUAGAUGCGCAGGCACUUUAUUGACUCUAGAGAACCUCGAGUCAAUCGCAAAUCCCCGUGGCGGCGACUUUGCAUUCGGAUGUCAUCCAUAUCAACCUUCAAUGCCAGUUUCUGCGCCUACCAUGGUGACCACGGGUAACAGGGAAUCAGGGUUCCAUUCAGGCUACCACAUGCAAGGAAGGCAGCAGGUGCGCAAAUGACCCACUCCCGACGCGGGAAGGUAGUGACGA